rnacentral:lncRNA from 1 species
CAUAGAAUUCUUCUGGAUCUGAAAAAAAUAAAAAAGAGGAGAUGAAUUUUAUGGACUCAGUAAGUUACCAAUAUCUCUGAAGAAUCAAGCAUAAUUAAUUUUUUUUUCAAAUAUAAUACUAAUAAAUAUAAAUAUCAAUUUAAAUUUUCAAGAUAUGCCAUAUGUAACAGUAAUAUUUAAAAAUCUCUCUCAGUCUUCGUUGACUAUGGCCA